AGAGUUUGAUCCUGGCUCAGGACGAACGCUGGCGGCGUGCUUAACACAUGCAAGUCGAACGGUAAGGCUCUUCGGAGUACACGAGUGGCGAACGGGUGAGUAACACGUGAGCAACCUACCCUUGACACUGGGAUAACAGUUGGAAACAGCUGCUAAUACCGGAUACUACCUCGAUCGACAUCGAUUGAGGUGGAAAGCUCCGGCGGUCAUGGAUGGGCUCGCGGCCUAUCAGCUUGUUGGUGAGGUAACGGCUCACCAAGGCUUCGACGGGUAGCCGGCCUGAGAGGGCGACCGGCCACACUGGGACUGAGAUACGGCCCAGACUCCUACGGGAGGCAGCAGUGGGGAAUAUUGCGCAAUGGGCGAAAGCCUGACGCAGCAACGCCGCUGCGGGAUGAGGGCCUUCGGUUGUAAACCGCUUUCGCAGGGACGAAGCAACACGUGACGGUACCCUGCAGAAGAAGCACCGGCCAACUACGUGCCCGCAGCCGCGGUGAUACGUAGGGUGCGAGCGUUGUCCGGAAUUAUUGGGCGUAAAGAGCUUGUAGGCGGUUUGUCGCGUCGAAAGUGAAAACUCAGGGCUCAACCCUGAGCCUGCUCUCGAUACGGACAGACUAGAGGAAUGUAGGGGAGAACGGAAUUCUUGGUGGAGCGGUGGAAUGCGCAGAUAUCAGGAGGAACACCGGUGGCGAAGGCGGUUCUCUGGACAUUUCCUGACGCUGAGAAGCGAAAGCGUGGGUAGCAAACAGGCUUAGAUACCCUGGUAGUCCACGCCGUAAACGGUGGGUACUAGGUGUGGGGGAC
rnacentral:rRNA from 1 species